GAUGAACGCUGGCGGCGUGCCUAAUACAUGCAAGUCGAGCGAACGGAUAAGGAGCUUGCUCCUUUGAAGUUAGCGGCGGACGGGUGAGUAACACGUGGGUAACCUACCUAUAAGACUGGAAUAACUUCGGGAAACCGGAGCUAAUGCCGGAUAACAUUUGGAACUGCAUGGUUCUAAAGUAAAAGAUGGUUUUGCUAUCACUUAUAGAUGGACCCGCGCCGUAUUAGCUAGUUGGUAAGGUAACGGCUUACCAAGGCAACGAUAUGUAGCCGACCGGAGAGGGUGAUCGGCCACACUGGAACUGAGACACGGUCCAGACUCCUACGGGAGGCAGCAGUAGGGAAUCUUCCGCAAUGGACGAAAGUCUGACGGAGCAACGCCGCGUGAGUGAUGAAGGUUUUCGGAUCGUAAAACUCUGUUAUUAGGGAAGAACAAAUGUGUAAGUAACUGUGCACAUCUUGACGGUACCUAGUCAGAAAGCCACGGCUAACUACGUGCCAGCCGCCGCCGUAA
rnacentral:rRNA from 1 species